rnacentral:snRNA from 1 species
GUGCUCGCUUUGGNAGCACAAANACUAAAAUUGGAACGAUACAGAGAAGAUUAGCAUGGCUCCUGCACAAGGAUGACUCGCAAAUUUGUGGAGUGUUCCAUUUUUAU